UACAGAGGUCUCAAGCGUUGUUCGGAUUCAUUGGGCGUAAAGGGUGCGUAGGUGGCGCCGUAAGUCAGGUGUGAAAUUUCGGAGCUUAACUCCGAAACUGCAUUUGAUACUGCGGUGCUUGAGGACGGGAGAGGAGACUGGAAUUCACGGUGUAGCAGUGAAAUGCGUAGAUAUCGUGAGGAAGACCAGUGGCGAAGGCGGGGCUCUGGACAGUUCCUGACACUGAGGCACGAAGGCCAGGGGAGCAAACGGG
rnacentral:rRNA from 1 species